rnacentral:rRNA from 1 species
CAGUCGCCGCGGUAAUACGGAGGGUGCAAGCGUUAAUCGGAAUUACUGGGCGUAAAGCGCACGCAGGCGGUCUGUCAAGUCAGAUGUGAAAUCCCCGGGCUUAACCUGGGAACUGCAUUUGAAACUGGCAGGCUAGAGUCUUGUAGAGGGGGGUAGAAUUCCAGGUGUAGCGGUGAAAUGCGUAGAGAUCUGGAGGAAGACCGGUGGCGAAGGCGGCCCCCUGGACAAAGACUGACGCUCAGGUGCGAAAGCGUGGGGAGCAAACAGGAUUAGAUACCCCGGUAGUCCCUGUCUCUUAUAC